rnacentral:tRNA from 1 species
UCCCUGAUGGCUCAGUUGGUACAGAAUCUGCCUGCAACGCAGGAGACCCCAGUUCAAUUCCUGGGUUGGGAA